rnacentral:rRNA from 1 species
UGGAUCCAGACUUUGAUUAUGGCUCAGGAUGAACGCUAGCUACAGGCUUAACACAUGCAAGUCGAGGGGAAACGACAUCGAAAGCUUGCUUUUGAUGGGCGUCGACCGGCGCACGGGUGAGUAACGCGUAUCCAACCUGCCCAUCACUUGGGGAUAACCUUGCGAAAGUAAGACUAAUACCCAAUGACGUCUCUAGAAGACAUCUGAAAGAGAUUAAAGAUUUAUCGGUGAUGGAUGGGGAUGCGUCUGAUUAGCUCGUUGGCGGGGUAACGGCCCACCAAGGCAACGAUCAGUAGGGGUUCUGAGAGGAAGGUCCCCCACAUUGGAACUGAGACACGGUCCAAACUCCUACGGGAGGCGGCAGUGAGGAAUAUUGGUCAAUGGGCGAGAGCCUGAACCAGCCAAGUAGCGUGCAGGAUGACGGCCCUAUGGGUUGUAAACUGCUUUUAUAAGGGAAUAAAGUGAGUCUCGUGAGACUUUUUGCAUGUACCUUAUGAAUAAGGACCGGCUAAUUCCGUGCCAGCAGCCGCGGUAAUACGGAAGGUCCGGGCGUUAUCCGGAUUUAUUGGGUUUAAAGGGAGCGUAGGCCGGAGAUUAAGCGUGUUGUGAAAUGAAGACGCUCAACGUCUGCACUGCAGCGCGAACUGGUUUCCUUGAGUACGCACAAAGUGGGCGGAAUUCGUGGUGUAGCGGUGAAAUGCUUAGAUAUCACGAAGAACUCCGAUUGCGAAGGCAGCUCACUGGAGCGCAACUGACGCUGAAGCUCGAAAGUGCGGGUAUCGAACAGGAUUAGAUACCCUGGUAGUCCGCACGGUAAACGAUGGAUGCCCGCUGUUGGUCUGAAUAGGUCAGCGGCCAAGCGAAAGCAUUAAGCAUCCCACCUGGGGAGUACGCCGGCAACGGUGCAACUCAAAGGAAUUGACGGA